rnacentral:rRNA from 1 species
GACGAACGCUGGCGGCGUGCUUAACACAUGCAAGUCGAACGAUGAAGCUGGAGCUUGCUCCGGUGGAUUAGUGGCGAACGGGUGAGUAACACGUGAGCAAUCUGCCCUUGACUCUGGGAUAACUGCGGGAAACUGUAGCUAAUACCGGAUACGAGGCUCGAAGGCAUCUUCGGGUCUGGAAGGAAUUUCGGUCAAGGAUGAGCUCGCGGCCUAUCAGCUUGUUGGUGAGGUAAUGGCUCACCAAGGCGACGACGGGUAGCCGGCCUGAGAGGGUGACCGGCCACACUGGGACUGAGACACGGCCCAGACUCCUACGGGAGGCAGCAGUGGGGAAUAUUGCACAAUGGGCGAAAGCCUGAUGCAGCAACGCCGCGUGAGGGAUGAAGGCCUUCGGGUUGUAAACCUCUUUUAGCAGGGAAGAAGCGAAAGUGACGGUACCUGCAGAAAAAGCACCGGCUAACUACGUGCCAGCCGCCGCCGUAA